rnacentral:lncRNA from 1 species
CUAUUACACACUGAAUCCAAAAGAAACAUAGAUGAAAUCAUAAGAUCGCAAAUUACAUCAUAAACCCUAAAUCACAACAUCAAGGCUUAGAUCUUUCAAUCGAAGGCUCAGACCACACCCAUAAACCAUCACAGAGGCACCGAGACUCAAAACGAACCCUCACAACCCAAACACACCAAGGUCACUUCAUUGGACUCAAGAAAUCAAACUGCCUACCUUCGGUCGAUCACUCACACAAAGGAGAAUCACACAAGAACACGAUUAUCACAGAGAUAAUCAACCAGAAAUCUCACAAAGAGAAGAAGGAAGGGUCACACAGACAAGAGGACUCGAAGGUUCCACACGGCAGAGAGAAAGGGAAAAACAGAAAAUGACGAUCCACAGGCCAAACAGGGAGUAAGGGUAUUAUUUAUAGUAAGUAUCAUCAACCGUUGAUCAGCGGGUCAAUCCAACGGUCCAAGAGCGACUAAUGGUGUGGGCUGAAUAUUGGGCUCGGUUAAGUGGGCCUUCUAGGUAUAUAUUUAAUGGACCAAGUAAUAAAUCCAAUUUGGGCCUUUUCAUCAUUGCCUAACAGUUGGACUGGAUCAAAUGGCAUCAUAGCCCAACA